UACGUAGGGUGCAAGCGUUGUCCGGAAUUAUUGGGCGUAAAGAGCUCGUAGGCGGUCUGUCGCGUCUGCUGUGAAAACUCGGGGCUUAACCCCGGGCCUGCAGUGGGUACGGGCAGACUAGAGUGCGGUAGGGGAGACUGGAAUUCCUGGUGUAGCGGUGAAAUGCGCAGAUAUCAGGAGGGAACACCGGUGGGCGAAGGCGGGUCUCCUGGGCCGUAACUGACGC
rnacentral:rRNA from 1 species